UACGUAGGGUGCGAGCGUUGCCCGGAUUUAUUGGGCGUAAAGGGCGCGCAGGCGGUACGGCACGUCCGUUGUGAAAUCGCUCGGCUCAACUGGGCGGGGUCAGCGGAUACGGCCGCAUUCGAGCAAGCUAGGGGGCAAUGGGAAUUCCCCGGUGUAGUGGUGGAAAUGCGUAGAUAUCGGGGAGGAACACCCAGUGGCGAAGGCGGUUGCCUGGAGCUUUGCUGACGCUGAGGCGCGGAAAGCGAUGGGGAGCGAGGACGCGAU
rnacentral:rRNA from 1 species